rnacentral:rRNA from 1 species
GGUGAACGCUGGCGGCGUGCUUAACACAUGCCAGUCGAACGGAAAGGCCCAAGCUUGCUUGGGUACUCGAGUGGCGAACGGGUGAGUAACACGUGGGUGAUCUGCCCUGCACUUCGGGAUAAGCCUGGGAAACUGGGUCUAAUACCGGAUAGGACCACAUUUUGGAUGGUGUGGUGGAAAGUUUUUCGGUGUGGGAUGAGCUCGCGGCCUAUCAGCUUGUUGGUGGGGUAAUGGCCUACCAAGGCGUCGACGGGUAGCCGGCCUGAGAGGGUGUACGGCCACAUUGGGACUGAGAUACGGCCCAGACUCCUACGGGAGGCAGCAGUGGGGAAUAUUGCACAAUGGGCGCAAGCCUGAUGCAGCGACGCCGCGUGGGGGAUGACGGCCUUCGGGUUGUAAACUCCUUUCGCUAGGGACGAAGCGUUUUUGUGACGGUACCUGGAGAAGAAGCACCGGCUAACUACGUG